CAGCCGCCGCGGGAAUACGGAGGGUGCAAGCGUUAAUCGGAAUUACUGGGCGUAAAGCGUGCGUAGGUGGUGGUUUAAGUCCGUUGUGAAAGCCCUGGGCUCAACCUGGGAAUUGCAGUGGAUACUGGGUCACUAGAGUGUGGUAGAGGAUAGUGGAAUUUCCGGUGUAGCAGUGAAAUGCGUAGAGAUCGGAAGGAACAUCUGUGGCGAAGGCGACUAUCUGGGCCAACACUGACACUGAGGCACGAAAGCGUGGGGAUCAAACAGGAUUAGAUACCCCAGUAGUCCCUGUCUCUUAUAC
rnacentral:rRNA from 1 species